rfam:Salmo salar isolate Sally breed double haploid chromosome ssa03, whole genome shotgun sequence.
AAUUCUACUUCAACUUGAGCACCUUUCUUUUAUCACUCUACAGAAAGUGCUAUUAAGUUGGAGUAUGAUUC